UUAUAAGAGACAGCAGCCGCCGCGGGAAUACAGAGGGUGCGAGCGUUAAUCGGAUUUACUGGGCGUAAAGCGUGCGUAGGCGGCUUUUUAAGUCGGAUGUGAAAUCCCUGAGCUUAACUUAGGAAUUGCAUUCGAUACUGGGAAGCUAGAGUAUGGGAGAGGAUGGUAGAAUUCCAGGUGUAGCGGUGAAAUGCGUAGAGAUCUGGAGGAAUACCGAUGGCGAAGGCAGCCAUCUGGCCUAAUACUGACGCUGAGGUACGAAAGCAUGGGGAGCAAACAGGAUUAGAUACCCCGGUAGUCCCUGUCUCUUAUAC
rnacentral:rRNA from 1 species